rnacentral:rRNA from 1 species
UACAGAGGUCUCAAGCGUUGUUCGGAUUCAUUGGGCGUAAAGGGCGCGUAGGCGGGAUGACAAGUCGGUCGUGAAAUCCCUGGGCUCAACUCAGGGGGGUCGGCCGAUACUGCCAUUCUUGAGGGAUGCAGAGGAGACUGGAAUUCCCGGUGUAGCGGUGAAAUGUGUAGAGAUCGGGAGGAACACCGGUGGCGAAGGCGGGUCUCUGGGCAUUCCCUGACGCUGAGGCGCGAAAGCGUGGGGAGCAAACGGG